AUUGAACGCUGGCGGCAGGCCUAACACAUGCAAGUCGAGCGAGCGGCGGACGGGUGAGUAAUGUAUGGGCAUUUGCCUGAUCGAGGGGGACAACUACUGGACACUGUGGCUAAUACCGCAUACUAUCGGCUGUACCCUAAUGGGAUUAGCUAGUAGGUGGGGUAAAGGCUCACCUAGGCGACGAUCUCUAGCUGGUCUGAGAGGAUGAUCAGACACACUGGGACUGAGACACGGCCAAGACUCCGACGGGAGGCAGCAGUGGGGAAUAUUGCACAAGGGGCGCAAGCCUGAUGCAGCCAUGCCGCGUGUAUGAAGAAGGCCUUAGGGUUGUAAAGUACUUUCAGCGGGGAGGCGUUACCCGCAGAAGAAGCACCGGCUAACUCCGUGCCAGCCGCCGCGGUAAUUC
rnacentral:rRNA from 1 species